rnacentral:rRNA from 1 species
AUGAACGCUGGCGGCGUGCCUCAUACAUGCAAGUCGCGCGCACAGACGAGGAGCUUGCUCCUCUGACGUUAGCGGCGGACGGGUGAGUAACACGUGGAUAACCUACCUAUAAGACUGGGAUAACUUCGGGAAACCGGAGCUAAUACCGGAUAAUAUAUUGAACCGCAUGGUUCAAUAGUGAAAGACGGUUUUGCUGUCACUUAUAGAUGGAUCCGCGCCGCAUUAGCUAGUUGGUAAGGUAACGGCUUACCAAGGCAACGAUGCGUAGCCGACCUGAGAGGGUGGUCGGCCACACUGGAACUGAGACACGGUCCAGACUCCUACGGGAGGCAGCAGUAGGGAAUCUUCCGCAAUGGGCGAAAGCCUGACGGAGCAACGCCGCGUGAGUGAUGAAGGUCUUCGGAUCGUAAAACUCUGUUAUUAGGGAAGAACAAAUGUGUAAGUAACUAUGCACGUCUUGACGGUACCUAAUCAGAAAGCCACGGCUAACUACGUG